UUAAUUUUCCCUCCUAUACAAGACUAGGGGCCCACGCGUUGCCCCCGUUUAGGAGCCACAAAGUCAGGGGUUUUCCACAAAACCGUUUCUUGGCUAAGACCGGAGAAAGGGGGCAUCGGCGGUCUUAUCUUCGGCUAGGGUUGGAGGUGACCAUGAGUUAUCCCCCCUAAUCCCCUUUCAAACUGGACGAUUUCACCCCUCUUUAUCCCCCUUCUCUCACCUCCAGCUUCCCAUUUCUGUCGCCCACCAUUGUGGUUUCGUUUUCCAGAGCAGUGGCGAUUUGGUGAGUGCAACCGAUUUUAGCCUCGAUUAAGUCAGGUAUGAGGUUCUAUUAACCGAUUUUAGCCUCGAUUUGUUGUGUGAUUCGUUUUUUGUUGAUUUUCGAGUACGGAUGUGUGGGUUUUCUCUUCUACUUGUGAUUUUGUGUUCUCCAUGGACUGGGUCUGGACAUAUUUUUGGUUUCUGAUUUUGUAUUAUUUGUUCCAAGAAACAGCCAACUAUGUCGUCCUCCUCAAGACCCAGGUCUUGAUUUUGUAGAGACUCGUAGAUUUUUAUGGGUCGAAUCAAAAUGCUGCUGUAUAGAGAGAUUAGCCAACUACUUCACAGAUUAUAUGAUGAAGACGACUCUUUAUUUUUGAUUUCUUGUUUUCAAUUUUUUUGUUUUUAGAUUUUAGUUUUGUAAUGGAUUGUGCGACUGCCAAAAAGAGAAGUUUUUUAUUUUUUAGUUUUCAGAUUCUAUAGACUGCCAAAGAGAGAUAGCAACUGAAAACACAAAUCAAAAACAGGAAAAAGAAAAAAGAGGCUUUACCCUCUUCAUUAAUCCCAUUUACAAAUGUCUGUGUUUUUGGUUUAAUUUUUGGGUUGAUCACGUUCAAGCCUCCUUCUAAAGAGUUUUGAUAAGAUAAAACACACAUUCACACUCAUAUUUGAAUAAUUUGUAUGCCUUAUGUUGCUACAUUUGAUGCAAUUUUUUGGAAAUGUGGAAUGUAAUAUGAAUAUUUCUUGCAUGACAGGUUUUGGAAACUAAUGUGUGUCAUACUUGCAACUAGGGCAAUGAUGAAUCAAUUAAUUUCUUAAUUAAGGUAGAUACCUUAGCGGGGUAACAUUAGUUGCAGCCAAGAGUACCCUUAUGAUUCCAUAAAUAUUUUCUGAGCCCAAUUCAAUUUUCACCUGCGGUUAUGUUCAUAUGUGGACCAGGUGCACAAAUUAGUGGGUAUAUAGUCUCUAUGUGCAAAGCAGUGCAGGUGUGUGUGUGUGUGUUGGUUUCUGACCCCAUGUUUUCUGAGCAAAAAUUCAAUUUUCCUCAACUUUGACUCUGUUAAGGGGUUUGCAUGCUGUUCUCUUCAUUUAGAAAGUUGUAUUCUGGGCUUGCAACUUGUUUUCUGCACUUGUCAUGAGGUUUACUUGGUUUUCAAGCAAUUUUGUGGUAAUAGAAUGCUGUUAUUGGAAGCUGUUCUGCAGGUUCAACUGUGCUGUGUGUGAGUGCGUGUGUUGACCAUUCCAGGUGUGUGCAUGGUUAUAGCAGUGUAGUGAGUUGGAAUUUUCUGCAGUUUUCUACAGUUUGGUGCAGUUUUCUGAGUUCAUAAUUGUGAUGCUAUAGUCCACUACCAAGUUGGUUUCUGCAGUUUUCUGUUCUGCUAUGUGUGUGUGUUUGUGUGUGUGCAAACUGUAGGGCAUAAUGUUUUCUGACCUAUUUUUGAAGCAGUGUUGUGGAUAGAUGACUACAGAAAAUAGCAGGAUGUUUUCCUUUUCCUAGUUGGUUGGUUUCUGUUAUGGAAAUUCUGGAAAUGCUCCAAGUUGGUUUCUGCAGUUUUUUGUUAGCUUGGUUUGUUAGUUCUGUUGUUUCUACACUUAGCUUGGUUUCUGCAAAUUGUUGGCCAAAGAGUUGGACAGUGUGUGCGUGGGUGCAAACUACAGAAUAAAUGCAUGCCAACCAAACGGCGCCUACUAUUAUAUGGCUGUGAUGAAAUGGAAAUACACUCAAGGGUAUACACUCAUCUUGGUAGGACACUUGUGAGGGUCAACGGGUUCACGACCGUUCGGCAACAUAAGUAGUAACCAAGAAAACUGACCUUGAAAAUUGAAAUAUCUGAGCCAAUUGAUAGAAUUAUUGUCAAGACUUAUCCCAUUAUGAGUUGCUAUUUUAUUAAGUUUUGGUGGCAGUUUUCUACA